rnacentral:rRNA from 1 species
AGAGUUUGAUCCUGGCUCAGGAUGAACGCUAGCGGCAGGCCUAACACAUGCAAGUCGAGGGGUAACAGGGAUUAGCUUGCUAAUUUGCUGACGACCGGCGCACGGGUGCGUAACGCGUAUACAAUCUGCCUUAUACUGGGGUAUAGCCUUUAGAAAUGAAGAUUAAUCCCCCAUAGUCUCUUGAGAUGGCAUCAUUUUAGGAGUAAAGGUUACGGUAUAAGAUGAGUAUGCGUUCUAUUAGUUUGUUGGUGAGGUAACGGCUCACCAAGACUACGAUAGAUAGGGGCCCUGAGAGGGGGAUCCCCCACACUGGUACUGAGACGCGGACCAGACUCCUACGGGAGGCAGCAGUGAGGAAUAUUGGACAAUGGAGGCAACUCUGAUCCAGCCAUGCCGCGUGCAGGAAGACUGCCCUAUGGGUUGUAAACUGCUUUUAUAUAGGAAGAAACCUUGGUACGUGUACCAAGCUGACGGUACUAUAAGAAUAAGGAUCGGCUAACUCCGUGCCAGCAGCCGCGGUAAUACGGAGGAUCCAAGCGUUAUCCGGAAUCAUUGGGUUUAAAGGGUCCGUAGGUGGAUAAUUAAGUCAGAGGUGAAAUCUUGCAGCUCAACUGUAAAAUUGCCUUUGAUACUGGUUAUCUUGAGUUAUUAUGAAGUAGUUAGAAUAUGUAGUGUAGCGGUGAAAUGCAUAGAUAUUACAUAGAAUACCAAUUGCGAAGGCAGAUUACUAAUAAUCAACUGACACUGAUGGACGAAAAGCGUGGGUAGCGAACAGGAUUAGAUACCCUGGUAGUCCACGCCGUAAACGAUGGUUACUAGCUGUUUGGACCUUGCGUCUGAGUGGCUAGCGAAAGUGAUAAGUAACCCACCUGGGGAGUACGUUCGCAAGAAUGAACUUAAAGGAAUUGACGG